GAUGAACGCUGGCGGCGUGCUUAACACAUGCAAGUCGAACGGGAAACCUUUUAUUGAAGCUUCGGCAGAUUUAGCUGGGUUCUAGUGGCGGACGGGAGAGUAACGCGUGGGUAACCUGACCUAUACAGGGGGAUAACAACCAGAAAUGGUUGCUAAUACCGCAAAAUCGCACAGGGCCGCAUGGUCCGGUGUGAAAAACUCCGGUGGUAUAGGAUGGACCCGCGUGGGAAUAGCCAGGUGGCAGGGUAACGGCCUACCAAAGCGACGAUCCAUCGCCGGCCGGGGAUGGUGAGCGGCCACAUUGCUACUGUGCCACGGCCCCGACUCCUACGGGAGGCAGCGGUGGGGAAUAUUGCACGAUGGGGACAAUCCUGAUGCAGCGCCGCCUCGUGAAGGAAGAAGUAUGGCGUGAUGUAAACUUCUAGCAGCAGAGAAGAUAGUGACGGUACCUGACGAAGAAGCCCCGGCUAACUACGUG
rnacentral:rRNA from 1 species